rnacentral:snRNA from 14 species
AAGCCCUGGAACUCCUUGAACCUGAAGAUUAGAAUUUGAAGCUUCCACUCUGAAUGUGCAGACCCAUGCAAUUUCCCCAAACGUGGGAAACUUGACUGCAUAAUUUUUUGUAGUGGGGAACCACAUUCACACUCUCCCCU